rnacentral:rRNA from 1 species
CCCUUAGAUGUUCUGGGCCGCACGCGCGCUACACUGAUGCAUUCAACGAGCCUAUCCUUGACCGACAGGUCCGGGUAAUCUUUGAAUCUGCAUCGUGACGGGGAUAGAUUAUUGCAAUUAUUAAUCUUCAACGAGGAAUGCCUAGUAGGCGCAAGUCAUCAGCUUGCAUCGAUUACGUCCCUGCCCUUUGUACACACCGCCCGUCGCUCCUACCGAUUGGGUGUGCUGGUGAAAUGUUCGGAUCGGCCGUUUGUCGCGGUUUCCGCGUCAUGUGGCUGAGAAGUUCAUUAACCCCUCCCACCUAGAGGAAGGAGAAGUCGUAACA